CCCUACGGGACGCAGCAGUGGGGAAUAUUGGACAAUGGGCGAAAGCCUGAUCCAGCCAUGCCGCGUGUGUGAAGAAGGUCUUCGGAUUGUAAAGCACUUUAAGUUGGGAGGAAGGGCAGUAACCUAAUACGUUAUUGUUUUGACGUUACCGACAGAAUAAGCACCGGCUAACUUCGUGCCAGCAGCCGCGGUAAUACGAAGGGUGCAAGCGUUAAUCGGAAUUACUGGGCGUAAAGCGCGCGUAGGUGGUUCAGUAAGUUGGAAGUGAGAUCCCCGGGCUCAACCUGGGAACUGCUUUCAAAACUGCUGAGCUAGAGUACGGUAGAGGGUGGUGGAAUUUCCUGUGUAGCGGUGAAAUGCGUAGAUAUAGGAAGGAACACCAGUGGCGAAGGCGACCACCUGGACUGAUACUGACACUGAAGUGCGAAAGCGUGGGGAGCAAACAGGAUUAGAUACCCGAGU
rnacentral:rRNA from 1 species